UGAGCGUUUGCAACGCUCUUGGCCGAGCGGAGCUCACACCCUUGCCUCCUUUUGGACGGAGCGGUCACUAAGCGCGGUCCGUCUGGUCGUGGGAAGCCCCGCGGGCGAAGGGGAGCGGAAAGGCCGGCCUUCAAAGGCUCGGAAGGUGCCGGGAAGAUUUUGCAAAGGCGCCCGGAAAGAUUGCAGCGCUGUGAGAACAAGCUCACUUCGCUCCCAGCGGGACGCAGCUCCUGGUCACAGAUCCAGUGUGCGACAAAUGGCCACAACCAAGCGUCGUUCUCCUGAAACCUUUAUGCCACAAAAAGCGUAUCACCCUUGUGUGCCUGGCCCAGGGCUUCCGCUACGAGUGGCCGCUGGAUGUGAUCUGGAAGUGCAAUAACAAAAAGAUUGACCGACUCUCCUCUGCUACUGAGCCAGUCAAGAAAGAAGGGGAGUGCAACUUCGCCACUGCCAGCCGCCUGAGUGUGUUGGCAGAGGAGUGGCGGAAAGGCUACAACUAUUCCUGCCAUGUCAAGCAAACGGGGGAGGAGAUGAGUGACUGGGUGGAGAGCAGUCCAGACCACGAGACAGCUUCAGAAUCAGCUUCAGGUAUCUCUGAGGUUCAACUCAGCCUUUAUGCGGGGCAGUUUAUAUUCCUCCUACUAGGGGUCAAAAGCUUGGCCUACAGUGCUAUUCUGGGCAUCUACAAGUUCUAUAGAAAGAAAGGUCUCUAAUUGUGUUACCUGCUACAGCAGUAUUCACUCCCUUACCAGCCAAGGCACAGAUUUACAUCUAGCUGCAGGCCUUUCCCAGUGAAGAUCCAUUCCAUUCUGAAGUUUCCACAUCCUUCAUCUCAGCAUCUUCCUUCCAGAGGGACUCAUUGGUCACUUUAUAUUAAAUUGUUCUAUGCCUUGAGAAAAUUUCAAUACAUAUUUUCUGCCUCACAAUAAAGAUGUUCUGUUUCCUGAUUUUUGUGUGGAAAGUAUUAAUCCAGGUGGGUUUUCAUACUGUCUCCGAAUAUUGGGUGAGCAAGAGGAAACUGCAUCUAUUCAGAGGAAAUUAUGAUGACACAUUUUUCCCAUAUAGCUCUCUUCCAAAUCACAUCACCGCUCUCGUUAAAUCCUGGGUCGCCUGUACUUCACAUGUUGGUUGGACUUCAUGGCAUUCAGAAUCUUCUGAUGUCCUCCAUCAAGGCAAUGUGAAUGUAGAAAGGAACAAUGUCACGGUUGGAUGGGCAACUUUCAUAAAAUGUGCUGGAAUAUGAAUCCUGAUAAUAGCAUCAUACUGUGCUUCUAUCACCAUAGUCAACGGAAAUGAAAACACAGAUGGUUUCAUUAGAACUGGUUCAGGGAAAGAAGGAAAUAAUUGUGAUGGUUGCAUAGUGGGAGUGAGGAUGGAUGCCAUUCAAGUCAUGUCAAACCUAUUAUCUAAGCUAGGUUUCAGCCUUAGACUCAUCCAGGUGCAUUUCCCAUAAUUUCCCAGCCAGCAAGUCUGAGGGUUGGAGGACAAAGUUUGGGAUUAGACUUACAACAGCCUAAUGAAAUCUAUUUGUUUGUAUAUUGGGAACAAAGCUGAUAAAUGAACAGCACUUUCAGUUUUCAUUUUAUAGUGUUGUAUAGAAAGUACAUUGCAUCUGCAAGUAUCUAGUUAGGUGAUUUGAGAGAAAUCUUAAUCUUAUUCUUUUAUAUUAGUUAAUGAAAUGUAUUGAUUUUAUUUAUCUGUUGAUAAACAAAUAAUUCCCUCAACACUGUCAAACUAUUUACUAAGUC